UACGUAGGGUGCAAGCGUUGUCCGGAAUUAUUGGGCGUAAAGAGCUCGUAGGCGGUUUGUCGCGUCUGCUGUGAAAACCCGAGGCUCAACCUCGGGCCUGCAGUGGGUACGGGCAGACUAGAGUGCGGUAGGGGAGAUUGGAAUUCCUGGUGUAGCGGUGGAAUGCGCAGAUAUCAGGAGGAACACCGGUGGUGUAGACGGCUUCCUGGACCACAACUGACGCUGAGACACGAAAGCGUGGGGAGCAAACAGG
rnacentral:rRNA from 1 species